rnacentral:lncRNA from 1 species
AGAGCAGGGAAGAGAGGGGCCACGGCUACGCCUUCCCCUUUCCUCUCCGCAGGUAGAGACAGACUUUUUGCACCUGAGAGAUACACAUCAAGAGCCAACCUCUUCUCCUCUGAUGAAACCAGGCCCAGUCCCCAGCGCGCGCCCUGGCACACGAGCGACGCAGUCUCCCGGGCCCGGGUUCCCAGGCUUCGUUCAACCCGGUCCUCCAACCAAGUCAGCAGCCCGGUGCGCAUCUCCUGGGCUGGUGCGCGCGCGCGCACCGAAGGGACACUCUCCACCUCUCUCGGCCAGAACCCUAAGGGGAGCCGGGAGGUGCGCAGGUUUCACGCGUCCACCCCCAGCCCAGGGCGAACGCCUACCUGUGAGAAGAGCCCCUCCCUGCAGCCGCCAGCGGAGCCCGGGCUGGGCGCCCCAGGCUUCUCAGUUCGACGGCGCGGGAUGCCUCGCUCAGCACCGCGGGCUCAGUCUUCAAACCUGCUCACCGCCCACCGCCAAGGCCCCUGGGACCCAGCUUGCUCUCGCCUUUUUUCCUGCCCUGAAGAAGCCUCCCCAAACUUGCAGGUCUCCUGGGUGGCCCAGCUGUCAGCGACGAUGGAUCUAUUUUAAGUGCUGCACCCACUGUCCCCGCUCUGAGGACACGGGCAUGGGUCCCGCUACUAGGAUAACACCUUCGGGGCACGAACCCGAGCUGACGCGGAGCCAGAUCCCGCAGCCGGGACUCGGGCUUCCUCCGUCGGGCAGGCGGCCGGGCUACCGCGGUGGGAGGCUGUCUCAGGGCAAGCAUCUCGAAAUUCAAGAGCCCAGGGAAUCCCGGGCCCGGGAGCGGGGGUGUCCCACACGGCAGCCACCCCCUGCCCUCCCCACCCCUGCACCCCCGGAAUAGGCAGCCUUGGCAUGGCCACCACUCCUGGCAAAGGGAGGCACAGGAACCCUCCCAGCCUGUGUCCUCACCGCACCCACCCCAACACACCCCGGUGUGCCCUGGUUUACUUAAUUCUGUCAUUCCAGUCGUUAGCCUGCAAUAACCCGCCCAAAGUGGGAUCCUUUGGGAAAUGACAGUAAGGAUUGGGGACCAUCAACAAGACAUGAAGAGCCACGGCGCCUGACCUAAGCCCCAGACUGUUUAAUGAACGGCUGCACACACGUGUGCGUGUCCCCAUGCGCACACACUCAUCACCGGUAGGAUCCAGCCACAAGUUUGCACAGUGACAAGUCUCUAAGUCUAACGGAAAAUAGAAACAGCUUCACUCACCCGCCUUUUUCUUCCCUCUCCCGAUUGGGAUCCGGGGGAAAAGGAUGGAUUGAGAGACCCUUCUUUCUUUUCGCCUUCUAAAGAGUGGAAAUUUCCAUCAUGUGAUAGGGGGCAGCAUCCCCAGUGUCGCAUUUCCUAUGGACCCUCCCUUCCAGCCCAGCCACCAAUCAUCAGGCGGCAACCUGAGAUGUAAACAAAAGCAUCCUCCCAGGUGGGGCUGCCUUGUCCAGCUGUCCCCCAAGAGUGAAGCCUGGGACCUGCCAGCCCUUGAGCCCACUUUCCUGGGUUCACGGUGUGAGCUGGGCUUUUUUUGCGAGGAUUUUUUUGGGGAUGAUUAAUUUUCUUCAUUAGUCAAGGUUGCAUUAAUUGGAUCUGUCUUAUGUACAGAAAUACACGUCGAU